UCACGAGAGAUAAAGGAGGAUGGUAGAGGAGAAUCCUGAGCUCACCUCAUCCCACAGACACACCGAGCUAACAGCCACAUUUGUGCAACAAACUCUGGAAAUGACCCAAAGACCCAACAGACUGGAAGGUGUGUUAAGACCUUCCAUGGUGAAUCGUGGAGAUGAGGCCACAUUGAAAAGGGUAGCGGGGGAGAAGCAGCUGGGAACCAAACCCCAGGCGAGAGACCACAAGCCGAGAGAGCAGAGGGUCAGACCCCACAUCGGCACCCUAGGCACUGGAGAUCUGCUCUGGGAAGCGCUUCUGCCCUGCAGAUCCUCCCCGCCCAGCCACGCAUCUACAUGCUGAUAUCAACAGUGGCACAACACAAAGCUUUCAUAAUAUUCGGAUACAGCCUCGGAUCAUAUUUGGAUCUGUUUCAACGACGUGGACCCAGUCACAAGAGAUGAUGUUUAGGGUUGCAUCCCAAAGACAAAGGCUGGAUCCCGUGACUGACCAACCCAUUGUUAUUUUAUGCGAUCCUCUGAAAAUACUAGUCCUGCUUUGUUUUAAAAAGACUUCCUAUGUUCAUUCGAUAGAUUCUUUUUCUGCGACUGUCCUUCUGACCUCUGGGUUUCAUGACUUCAGUGUCGGGUUUGCUUAAAUAAAUGCUCGGUGAACCUUGUA